ensembl:lncRNA
GAGAGAGAGAGAGAGAGAGAGAGAGAGAGAGAGAGAGAGGACUUCUCCAUAAGGCUGUUGCGGACAGCAGGAAGUGGUGAGGGGAAAAAACUGCAACUAUUACCUUGAGGAGAACAAAAGGCCGACACUGAAACACCGAAUCCCACCACAAUCCACAAGAACGCCAGUCCUGCAGUAUAAAAACAACUAAAAACAGAGUUGUUUACCAUUUAAUACCAGAAAAACACCAAUUUGCCUAUGCUCUCUCUCUCUCUCUACCUCUCUUUUUUCCUCCUUCGCUUCCCAUAUCCCUCUCUCCCGUAUAUCUUUUGAGGUUUAAGUCCUUGGUUAGCUCUAGUACUCAUGUGACAGCCCUUCACUUACUUUACUGCCAGUGAUUGGCUGGUAUUAUGUCAAAAGCACCCAUCUCCCCCUAGUUUAUCCCUCCUGUCCUCUCAUUUCACAAGAGAAAAUUAAUAACUCCGCUACAUCAAUGGUCUUGGGCUGUGAUCUACACUGCUGCUCUCGCUCGCCUCAUGCUCAGCAGCCACUGCAGCACUCAUAGCCAUUCAGGUUGUGGGCUCUCCUCCUGAGGGUGGAAAGUAAUUCUGAGUGGAUAUGAAUACAUCUGAAGUAUCUGAAGUAAUGUCAACUCUCUAGUUCAAUAGGCAGGCCUUGAGUUAAUGUUCUUAAAUGUACUUCCUCUAAAGAGACAAGGACACAGUCCAUAGGAUCCGCACACUCUGUAAUUGGGUCUCUGUGACCUACAGUUUUAUCUGCCAUACAAGUACAUCCGUAUGUUCCAUAUGUACAUAAAUCCAAAAUCUGCUUUCAAUUCACCCAAGCCUCCCUCACACAUAUAUUUAUUACAAGUGUAGUGCUGCAUCUUCUCCUACCUUUCUAAGUAAUAGAAAAUGGGUAUUUAAACUCAAAAUCAGUUCCAUUCCUUGAAGGAUCAAUGUAUUAUAAGUGAUCAAAAGCAUGAAGGCAUUGGUGAAAGAGUGAAUGAGAAUGAGAUAGCAGUCAUUUUGGUGAAAGAGUGAAUGAGAACAAGAUACCAGUCUUUUUUGGUGAAAGAGUCAAUGAGAAUGAGAUAGCAGUCAUUUUUAGUGAAAGAGUGAAUGAGAAUGAGAUACCAGUCUUUUUUGUGGAAGAAGUGAAUGAGAAUGAGAUAGCAGUCAUU